rnacentral:rRNA from 1 species
AUUGAACGCUGGCGGCAUGCCUUACACAUGCAAGUCGAACGGCAGCACGGGUGCUUGCACCUGGUGGCGAGUGGCGAACGGGUGAGUAAUACAUCGGAACAUGUCCUGUAGUGGGGGAUAGCCCGGCGAAAGCCGGAUUAAUACCGCAUACGAUCUACGGAUGACAGCGGGGGACCUUCGGGCCUCGCGCUAUAGGGUUGGCCGAUGGCUGAUGAGCUAGUUGGUGGGGUAAAGGCCUACCAAGGCGACGAUCAGUAGCUGGUCUGAGAGGACGACCAGCCACACUGGGACUGAGACACGGCCCAGACUCCUACGGGCGGCAGCAGUGGGGAAGUUUGGCCGAAGGGCGAAAGCCUGAUCCAGGAAUGCCGCGUGUGUGAAGAAGGCCUUCGGGUUGUAAAGCACUUUUGUCCGGAAAGAAAUCCUUGGCUCUAAUACAGUCGGGGGAUGACGGUACCGGAAGAAUAAGCACCGGCUAACUACGU